rnacentral:rRNA from 1 species
AAAAACUUUCAACAACGGAUCUCUUGGUUCCAGCAUCGAUGAAAACGCAGCGAAAUGCGAUAACUAAUGUGAAUGCAAGUGAAUCAUCGAGUCUUUGAACGCACAUUGCGCCCCUCGGUAUUCCCGGGGGGCAUGCUGUUCGAGCGUCAUUAC